GGUAUUUUGACUAAGAGUGAAAUUCUCGGUUCAGAGGUUGAGAGCUUGUAUUAGCGAAUGAAGAAUUGUUCGUGCGUGUUGUUGUAUAUUGCAAUUCGCUUCUUCUAGUAUAUAUUACUGGAAAAGAGUCGUUGCAAAAAUGACCGUUGAUGAAGAUAACCUUUUGUCUUCAUGCAUCUGUCUUGAUGCAGUUUGGAUGUUACUAAAACUGAGUAAGAGUUUCAGUAACUUUGACCAGGUGCAGAGAAGAUUUUCCUUAUUAAGCUAAGAAACCAGACAAGUCACGUUCUCACUUAAGGACAGGCAAAAUGUAAGUAGUUGUUCUGAUCAAGGUUGAAAGGUCAUUUUCUUCAUUGAUAAAAGAGUUGACCUUCAAAUUCGAAUCUUCACACAACCCAAGAUAACAUCAGAGUUUGAAUAACCUCUGAGUUAACAAGUCCUGAGGUCUUCAUCCUCUGAUACAUAUAACUUCUGAAGAUCCUUAUCCUCUGAAUCGUUGAGAAGCUCUGAGAACUAACUUCUGAGCUUUCUUCAGAGCUUGCCUGUAUAUAAGUUCUGCACACUUAAAUAAAUUUUUAGUAUCUCCAAUUACAUUUAAUACUUUGUUAUCAUCAAAACCUUAAUGGUUUUAGGGGCAACAAUUUUUAAAUCAAUUUUGUUCCAACAGUAGUGUGCUUCAUAACACCAUAAUCAAACAACACCAUAAUCCAAACCGAAUUUUCAAAUGAUAUUUGAGAGAGAAGUUUCAGAGAAUCUUGGAUUUGAAGUUUGAAAGGAAUGAGUAUGGGGAAGAGGAGAGAGAAGUUUGAGAGAAUCUAUGUACUUUACAGCUGCUAUUGUUUUUGAAAUUUCUAGAGGGAUUUAGAAAUUUGAAUUUGUCCAUGCCUGCAAUUUGGUAGAGUACAUAUAUUCACUAAAAUUAGUCUUUUUGUGAAGAUGAGUAAGGAAGAGAGUGAAAACUAAGAAAAAAAAGGGAAAGAUUUCAAACAAUUUUUUGGUCUGUCAUAGCACACACAAUGACAGCAACAAUUCUCCUAAUAAAAUGUUUCCUAAGCUAGCUAAUAGCAUCCCAAAUUCAAAAUAAAAAAAUGACUAAGAAAGAAAAAGAAUAAAGACAAACAAUGAUAGGUAGUAUUUCAACAAAUUUAGCCAAAUUUAAAACUACAGAUUGAUCAAGAAACAUGAUUUCAAAUUAUCAUUACCGAAAAAGGGGCAUUGAAACUCAUCACUUGAAGUCCAACAUCAGCCGCUCUAUCACAUCAUCCAACGUUCAAAGACUCUGUAUGUAACUAAAUGUAGUAUUAGCAAACAAAUAAAACCAAACAUAGGAAACAAAUAUGCUAAUUAGUUUGUGUUUCCCCUAGCUGCAUAAUCCAUUACUAUCAAAACAAUCUGAACAAUAAAAAACUCAUUGAAGUAACAAAU
rnacentral:lncRNA from 1 species